rnacentral:rRNA from 1 species
AUGUUAGUGCAGAUUACUAUCCAAGCAAGUAGAUACGGCAACUGUAAAGGUCGAAGCCUAAAUGAGAUUUUUAUUCGGCAUGUGACCAUCCCGUACAGAUUUUUUCUGAUGGAAUUAUUGAUCACACUUCCAAUCAAUGUGUGUAAGGACAACAACCAAAAAAGUUCAUGCUUUCUUCACGGUUCUAGGCUGCUUGAAGGUUUCUUCCUUCGUGGCUUUGUCAAAUAUUUUGUUUUUUCACACCAUUUUAACCUGUGUUGCUCACAAAUACAUAUCUUUAGUUCUAUUCAUAUUACUUAUUAG